UCCCUGGAGCACUAGUGGUUAGGCCUUGGCGCUGUCACCAGUGUGGCCAGGGUUCGAUUCCCGGCCAGGGAA